UUUUUUUCUUUCUUAAGACUACAACUCAUAUUGCUCUUGGACUAGUAUUCAAUAAUAAAUCAGUUAUUUAAUAGAUUAUUACGCUGCCAUUUCCAUCUGUAUCAAUACUGAGACAAACUUAUUCAAAUAUAAUUUAAAAUAACACAGCAAAAUACCCAUUAACAUACAUGACAAUUAAACUGCAUACUUCAAAAUGAGUAACCAAAACACACAUUUAUCACAAUCACCAUUCACACAG